UACAGAGGUCUCAAGCGUUGUUCGGAUUCAUUGGGCGUAAAGGGUGCGUAGGCGGCAGUGCAAGUCGGAUGUGAAAACUCCAGGCUCAACCUGGAGCCGCCAUUCGAUACUGCUAUGGCUAGAGUCCGGUAGGGGAGUGUGGAAUUCCCGGUGUAGCGGUGAAAUGCGCAGAUAUCGGGAGGAACACCGAUGGCGAAGGCAGCACUCUGGGCCGGUACUGACGCUGAGGAGCGAAAGCGUGGGGAGCGAACAGG
rnacentral:rRNA from 1 species